rnacentral:rRNA from 1 species
AGUCGAACGCGAAAGUUCCCUUCGGGGAACAAGUAGAGUGGCGCACGGGUGAGUAACACGUAGGUAAUCUACCUUUGGAUUGGGAAUAACACCGAGAAAUCGGUGCUAAUACCGAAUAAUGCAGCGGCACCUAAUGGUGACAGUUGUUAAAGCGGGGGAUCGCAAGACCUCGCGUCUAAAGAGGAGCCUGCGGCGGAUUAGCUAGUUGGUAAGGUAACGGCUUACCAAGGCGAUGAUCCGUAGCCGGCCUGAGAGGGCGGUCGGCCACACUGACACUGACAUACGGGUCAGACUCCUACGGGAGGCAGCAGUCGGGAAUUUUGGGCAAUGGGCGAAAGCCUGACCCAGCAACGCCGCGUGAAGGAUGAAAUCCCUCGGGAUGUAAACUUCGCAAGAACGGGAAGAAUAAGUCGGUGCUAACACCAUCGGCGAUGACGGUACUGUUUGUAAGCUCCGGCUAACUCCGUGCCAGCAGCCGCGGUAAUACGGGGGGAGCAAGCGUUGUUCGGAUUUACUGGGCGUAAAGGGCGCGUAGGCGGCCACCGCAAGUCGACUGUGAAAUCUCCGGGCUUAACUCGGAAAGGUCAGCCGAUACUGCGGGGCUAGAGUGCAGAAGGGGCAACUGGAAUUCUCGGUGUAGCGGUGAAAUGCGUAGAUAUCGAGAGGAACACCUGCGGCGAAGGCGGGUUGCUGGGCUGACACUGACGCUGAUUGUGCGAAAGCUAGGGGAGCGAACGGGAUUAGAUACCCCGGUAGUCCUAGCCUUAAACGAUGAAUGCUUGGUGUCUGGGGUUUUAUAGUCCCCGGGUGCCGUCGCUAACGCUUUAAGCAUUCCGCCUGGGGAGUACGGUCGCAAGACUGAAACUCAAAGGAAUUGACGGGGACCCGCACAAGCGGUG